rnacentral:misc_RNA from 1 species
UGUGGGAGCUGGCUUGCCUGCGAUAGCGGUGUUGGAUUCACCGCCGCCAUCGCAGGCAAGCCAGCUCCCACA